rnacentral:rRNA from 1 species
CAGCCGCCACGGUAAUACGUAGGGUGCAAGCGUUAUCCGGAUUUAUUGGGUUUAAAGGGUCCGUAGGCGGAUCUGUAAGUCAGUGGUGAAAUCUCACAGCUUAACUGUGAAACUGCCAUUGAUACUGCAGGUCUUGAGUAAAUUUGAAGUGGCUGGAAUAAGUAGUGUAGCGGUGAAAUGCAUAGAUAUUACUUAGAACACCAAUUGCGAAGGCAGGUCACUAAGAUUUAACUGACGCUGAUGGACGAAAGCGUGGGGAGCGAACAGGAUUAGAUACCCGAGUAGUCCCUGUCUCUUAUAA